rnacentral:rRNA from 1 species
CGGAACACGUACACAACCUUCCGAUAAGUGGGGAAUAGCCCAGAGAAAUUUGGAUUAAUACCCCGUAACAUAUAGAGUAGGCAUCUUCUUUAUAUUAUAGCUUCGGCGCUUAUUGAUGGGUGUGCGUCUGAUUAGGUAGUUGGCGGGGUAACGGCCCACCAAGCCUGCGAUCAGUAGCUGAUGUGAGAGCAUGAUCAGCCACACGGGCACUGAGACACGGGCCCG